AGCGGCGGACGGGUGAGUAACGCGUGGGUAACCUGCCUCAUACAGGGGGAUAACAGUUAGAAAUGACUGCCAAUACCGCAUAAGACCACAGCACCGCAUGGUGCGGGGGUAAAAACUCCGGUGGUAUGAGAUGGACCCGCGUCUGAUUAGCUAGUUGGUAAGGUAACGGCUUACCAAGGCGACGAUCAGUAGCCGACCUGAGAGGGUGACCGGCCACAUUGGGACUGAGACACGGCCCAA
rnacentral:rRNA from 1 species